GAUGAACGCUAGCGGCAGGCCUAACACAUGCAAGUCGAGGGGCAGCACGUCUUCGGAUGGUGGCGACCGGCGCACGGGUGCGUAACGCGUAUGCAACCUACCUUACACUGGGGUAUAGCCCGGAGAAAUUCGGAUUAAUCCCCCAUGGUACUUUUGAAUGGCAUCAUUUGGAAGUUAAAGUAUUACGGUGUAAGAUGGGCAUGCGUCCUAUUAGCUAGAUGGUAAGGUAACGGCUUACCAUGGCUACGAUAGGUAGGGGGCCUGAGAGGGUGGUCCCCCACACUGGUACUGAGACACGGACCAGACUCCUACGGGAGGCAGCAGUGAGGAAUAUUGGUCAAAUGGGCGCAAGCCUGAACCAGCCAUGCCGCGUGCAGGAAGAAUGCCCUAUGGGUUGUAAACUGCUUUUAUUUAGGUAAUAAACCUUACUACGUGUAGUAAGCUGAAGGUACUGAAUGAAUAAGCACCGGCUAACUCCGUG
rnacentral:rRNA from 1 species